AGAGUUUGAUCCUGGCUCAGAACGAACGCUGGCGGCAGGCCUAACACAUGCAAGUCGAGCGCGCCUUCGGGUGAGCGGCGGACGGGUUAGUAACGCGUGGGAACGUGCCCUUCUCUACGGAAUAGCCUCUGGAAACGGAGAGUAAUACCGUAUACGCCCUUUGGGGGAAAGAUUUAUCGGAGAAGGAUCGGCCCGCGUUAGAUUAGGUAGUUGGUGGGGUAACGGCCUACCAAGCCUACGAUCUAUAGCUGGUUUUAGAGGAUGAUCAGCAACACUGGGACUGAGACACGGCCCAGACUCCUACGGGAGGCAGCAGUGGGGAAUCUUAGACAAUGGGGGCAACCCUGAUCUAGCCAUGCCGCGUGAGUGAUGAAGGCCUUAGGGUCGUAAAGCUCUUUCGCCUGUGAUGAUAAUGACAGUAGCAGGUAAAGAAACCCCGGCUAACUCCGUGCCAGCAGCCGCGGUAAUACGGAGGGGGUUAGCGUUGUUCGGAAUUACUGGGCGUAAAGCGCGCGUAGGCGGAUUAGAAAGUUGGGGGUGAAAUCCCGGGGCUCAACCCCGGAACUGCCUCCAAAACUGCUAGUCUAGAGUUCGAGAGAGGUGAGUGGAAUUCCGAGUGUAGAGGCGAAAUUCGUAGAUAUUCGGAGGAACACCAGUGGCGAAGGCGGCUCACUGGCUCGAUACUGACGCUGAGGUGCGAAAGUGUGGGGAGCAAACAGGAUUAGAUACCCUGGUAGUCCACACCGUAAACGAUGAAUGCCAGUCGUCGGAUAGUAUACUAUUCGGUGACACACCUAACGGAUUAAGCAUUCCGCCUGGGGAGUACGGUCGCAAGAUUAAAACUCAAAGGAAUUGACGG
rnacentral:rRNA from 1 species